ACUGCUCAGUAACACGUGGAUAACCUGCCCUAAGGAAGGGGAUAACCUCGGGAAACUGAGGAUAAUACCCUAUAGGUUACAGACGCUGGAAUGCCCUGUAACCGAAAGUUCCGGCGCCUUAGGAUGGAUCUGCGGCCGAUUAGGUUGUUGUUGGGGUAACGGCCCAACAAGCCGAUAAUCGGUACGGGUUGUGGGAGCAAGAGCCCGGAGUUGGAUUCUGAGACAUGAAUCAGGCCCUACGGGGCGCAGCAGGCGCGAAAACUUUACAAUGCGGGAAACCGUGAUAAGGGAACCCCGAGUGCCUGUAUAUGCAGGCUGUCCAGGUGUCUAAAAAACACCUGAAGAAAGGGCCGGGCAAGACCGGUGCCAGCCGCCGCGGUAAUACCGGCGGCUCGAGUGGUGGCCACUUUUAUUGGGCUUAAAGCGUUCGUAGCUGGGUUGUUAAGUCUCUUGGGAAAUCUGACGGCUCAACCGUCAGGCGUCCAAGGGAUACUGGCAAUCUUGGAACCGGGAGAGGUGAGGGGUACUUCGGGGGUAGGAGUGAAAUCCUGUAAUCCUCGAGGGACCACCUGUGGCGAAGGCGCCUCACCAGAACGGCUUCGACAGUGAGGGACGAAAGCUGGGGGAGCAAACCGGAUUAGAUACCCGGGUAGUCCCAGCCGUAAACGAUGCGCGUUAGGUGUAUCGGUGACCACGAGUCACCGAGGUGCCGAAGGGAAACCGUGAAACGUGCCGCCUGGGAAGUACGGUCGCAAGGCUGAAACUUAAAGGAAUUGGCGGGGGAGCAC
rnacentral:rRNA from 1 species